AUGUCGAUGAGGAGUCUGCUGGUGCUCGCUCUGGUGGUCGCGGCCGCGGCGUGCCUCGCGGCGCCGCGCGGCGCGCACGGGGCCGGCGAGUGCGGGAAGACGCCGGCGGACAAGAUGGCGCUGAAGCUGGCGCCGUGCGCGUCGGCGGGGCAGGACCCCAAGUCGGCGCCGUCCAGCGGGUGCUGCACGGCUGUACACACCAUCGGCAAGCAGAGCCCCAAGUGCCUCUGCGCCGUCAUGCUCUCCGACACCGCCAAGAGCGCCGGCAUCAAGCCGGAGGUCGCCAUGUCCAUCCCCAAGCGCUGCAACCUCGUCGACCGCCCUGUCGGCUACAAGUGCGGAGGUACGCAGAACGGGUCACCUGACAAUGCCAUGGCUUAA
rnacentral:rRNA from 1 species